UGAAUACGAGAUGCUACGGCAUUGAAGCAGUCUAUGUCAGACUUCCAAGAAAAGCUCGCAAUGUCAUAAACAAUUAAUGCCUGUACCAUAACCGACACAGGUGGGUAGGUAGAGUAUACUAAGGGGCGCGAGAUAACUCUCUCUAAGGAACUCGGCAAAAUGACUCCGUAACUUCGGGAGAAGGAGUGCCUUAUUUUAUAAGGUUGCAAUAACAAGAUCCAAGCAACUGUUUACCAAAAACACAGGUCUCCGCUAAGUCGUAAGACGAUGUAUGGGGGCUGACGCCUGCCCAGUGCCAGAAGGUUAAAGAAGUUGGUUAGCCUAGCGAAGCUGAUGACUGAAGCCCUGGUGAACGGCGGCCGUAACUAUAACGGUCCUAAGGUAGCGAAAUUCCUUGUCGGGUAAGUUCCGACCCGCACGAAAGGCGUAAUGAUUUGGAUACUGUCUCGGAGAGGGGCUCGGUGAAAUAGACUUGUCUGUGAAGAUGCGGACUACCUGCACCUGGACAGAAAGACCCUAUGAAGCUUUACUGUAACUUGAGAUUGAAAUUGGACUUUAUUUGCGCAGUAUAGGUGGGAGACGCUGAGAAUAUUCUUGCGGGAAUAUUGGAGUCAUCAGUGAGAUACCACUCUUGUAAUGUUAGAUUUCUAACUUUGAAUCAUUAUCUGGUCAAAGAACAGUCUCAGGCGGGCAGUUUGACUGGGGCGGUCGCCUCCUAAACGGUAACGGAGGCGCACAAAGGUUUCCUCUGAACGUGUAGAAAUCGUAUCUAGAGUGUAAAGGCAUAAGGAAGCUUGACUGUGAGACCUACAAGUCGAGCAGGGACGAAAGUCGGUCUUAGUGAUCUGACGGUGCUGAGUGGAAAGGCCGUCACUCAACGGAUAAAAGUUACUCUAGGAUAACAGGCUGAUCUCCCCCAAGAGUUCACAUCGACGGGGAGGUUUGGCACCUCGAUGUCGGCUCAUCGCAUCCUGGGGCGGUAGUACGUCCCAAGGGUUGGGCUGUUCGCCCAUGAAAGCGGUACGCGAGCUGGGUUCAGAACGUCGUGAGACAGUUCGGUCCAUAUCCGGUGUAGGCGUUAGAAUAUUGAGAGGAGCCUUCUUUAGUACGAGAGGACCGAGAAGGACAUACCUCUGGUGUACCAGUUAUCGUGCCAACGGUAAACGCUGGGUAGCUAUGUAUGGAGUGGAUAACCGCUGAAAGCAUCUAAGUGGGAAGCCCACCUCAAGAUAAGUAUUCCC
rnacentral:rRNA from 1 species